GCCAUGCCGCGUGUGUGAAGAAGGCCUUCGGGUUGUAAAGCACUUUCAGCGAGGAGGAAAGGUUGGCGCCUAAUACGUGUCAACUGUGACGUUACUCGCAGAAGAAGCACCGGCUAACUCCGUGCCAGCAGCCGCGGUAAU
rnacentral:rRNA from 1 species